UACAGAGGUCCCAAGCGUUGUUCGGAUUCACUGGGCGUAAAGGGUGCGUAGGCGGUCGGGUAAGUCUGAUGUGAAAUCUCACAGCUUAACUGUGAAACUGCAUUGGAUACUAUCCGGCUAGAGGAAUGGAGGGGAGACUGGAAUACUUGGUGUAGCAGUGAAAUGCGUAGAUAUCAAGUGGAACACCAGUGGCGAAGGCGAGUCUCUGGACAUUUCCUGACGCCGAGGCACGAAAGCCAGGGGAGCAAACGGG
rnacentral:rRNA from 1 species